rnacentral:lncRNA from 1 species
AUGUUCUCUGCACACGUGACGCUCUGUCCUCUUGUUCCUCCUGCCCCAGAGCCCCUGCCCCUUCCCCAGAUCUGGGCCAAGGAUCGGUUCAUCACCCCAGGCUGGUGCAAUGUCACCGUGAAGUGUGACACCAUGGGAACCAGGGAGGACCUGACCCUGUCCUGGGAGAGGAAGAGACUCCCCAGGGAACUGGAACAACGAGUGGCCCCAGGACCAGCUCCCAACCCUUGGACCCUGGCUCUGAGCCUGCCUCUCAGCCAGCCCAGGACCAGCCUCACCUGUGUGCUCAGCAACCAAGAGGACCAGAAAACUGUCACCUUGGACCUUGGGGACAUCUGUGGCCACGAUCCACAGGGACAGGCUGAUGCCUCCCAACUACCCAGCAUCCUGGGGACUGUUGUGGUCCUGCUGCUGAUCCUGGGAGCUGGACUGUUCCUCUGGAGGACACGAGUGAAGAAGAGCCUGGAGCCUGGGAGAGGUGCAGGGUCCCAGGAGGAGCACAGGGACCCAAUGGGUGGCAUCCACUAUGCAGAGCUGAGCCAGCAGGGUUCUGGAGACAGCAGGGACCAGGGUAGGGGUGCAGCUCGUCUAGAAGGGGAGACGCCCCUCACUACUGUCUACAGUGAGGUCCGAAGGCCAGGCAGGGCCCUGAUGAGGAUUUAAUUGGAAGAAGCAGGAGAAUCCGGCCCCCUGGGGACACCUGUCUUGGGACCAUGAUGCCUGCAGCUCUGGUCUCACCUCUUCCUUCUCUGACUCCUCUGGUGAGGGACUGGCUGGUCCAAGCAUCAGCUAGUGUCUAUGCUAAGUGGUUCUGCACACGUUCACCAUGAGACACACACAGUGGUAGAGCAAGCGGGAAACUGAGUCCAUGAAUUGGUACCAACAUGUUCCAGGUCGGCUCAGCCUCAGCCCGGACACCCCUGGAUGGACUCUGCUCUCCUCCUCAUCUAUAGGACAGCAAACUACCUUCAGACCCUCGCCCCCUGGACGCACCACUGUGACUCACAGCCUCCCACCGGGACAGUCUGAAGAGCAGCCCGUGGUCAGGCUGGGCCGAGAGCUAUUCAGGGACGCGAUGCGUCCGUGGCGGUCAGCGCCGGCUGCGUGCUGCUCUGUGGCCCGCAUUGCUCUGACCUCGUGCAGGCUGGGACCUCCCGGGCCUCGUGCACACGCCGUGAUGUGGGGGUCUUGUGCGCAGGGUCGGGUCAGUAGAAGGAGGCCUUGGGGGCUGACUCUGGAGGCCGCGCAGCUGGGAGCGCUGGGCCGGGACCCAGCCGGGGGAUCUGGGCUCCAGGGCGUGGCUCCCCAGCCCUCGGCUGUCUGUCCCGAGUCCUGGCAAAGCUCCCUUCUGUCCUGUCCUGCCGCAAAUGGCAGAGCCUCCUACUGUUCAGGAAGAAAUGGAAGUUUCUGGGUCCUACCAGUUAGCUUUUAACAGGCUGUGUUGAUUGACACCUGCCUCCCUCCUUCUCCUGCCUCCGGGAAGGAUGUCCUGGGGUCUCAGUAGGACUUUCCCCUGCACUCUAGAGACCUUCCCUGGGGACGAGCCACCCGUGCGCUCUUCCUCAGAGCAGAGUAACUUUUUGGUUUUUUUUAAUGCCGUUUGCAAUAGUAAAACAGCCAGAGGCGAAAGAGGAAAACGGAUGACAGACAGGGACACACGUGUGCCCUGGAGCCGGGGCCCAGCCACAGCCUGGCUCUUCACUUGCCCCACACCCAGAGGCAGGGGACGGAGGCUUGAGGACACGAGAGGAGCCGAGUCCCCGGGAAGGCCAGAGCCGUGGUCCCCGAGAGCUGCGGCCCUGACCGUCCACCUUAGAGGCUGCAGGAAGGGAACCUCAAUGCUCCACGAUGCAGACAAACCCAGGGGAUGAGACCUGAGGCUCCAUAAAUCUCUCAGUGGAUCAGUCCUUCCACUGCGCCUCCAUCCAGGUGCAGUGGGGGGACCCAGGAGCCUCGGGCACCUCCACUCCCUCUGCCACGUGGCUCCCUUCUGAACCUCCACGUUCGAGGGCAUCAGUGGGACGGACCGACGCUGGGUCCUGGUCGACUCUCCUCCCGCAGAGACUCUCUGAGCCUGUAAAGUUCCUGCUUCCUGACUUGGUUUGCGAAAGCGAACGGAUGGAGCGUGUGUGAGGAUGCAUCUGUCCUCUGCUUGCUCCCCCUUCUCAGCUGCCGCCCCCCGGUGCUGCUCAGCAAUGCUGCUCGCGCUCAGGGCGGCCCUAGUCCCAGGGCUGUUUCUCCCUCAGAGCCUGCGGCAGCCUGAGGGCGGAGGGCGGCCCGGAGCCCCGAGCUGGGGGCGGCACAGGCGUGCCUGGGCCCGCUGGCCCUGGGCUCGAUGGCCUUUCUGUCCUUCAACACUGACCACGAGACUCUUUCCGGAACACGACUUGGUGUCAAGCAGAAUAUGGCAGUGCUGGCUUCAUCAUGGACUCAUUUUUUAAAGAUUUUAUUUAUUUGAGGGAGAGAGAGAACAAGCAUGUGGGGGUGAGGAAGAGGGAGAAGCAGUCCCCCCCAACCGAGUCAGAGCACAGCACAGGGAGCUCAGUCCUAGGACCCUGGGAUCAUGACCUGAGCUGUAAGCAGAUGCUUAAGUGACUGAACCAACCAGGUGUCCCCACGGUGAACUCAUUUUUAUUAAGAAUCAAAGUUGACUGAACUAAGCUACUGUAUUUUAUUUCAAAGAAUAAUUUCUUGGAUUUUCAGCUGGCUCAGUUUGUGACCCUUGCUCUCAGGAUUGGAGUUCAAGCCCAUGUUCUGUCUAGAGUGAUUUGAAUUAAUUAAUUAAUCAAAGGAUGGGAUGCCUGGGUGGUUCAGUAGGUUAAGUGACUUACUUCGUCUUCAGUCAUCAUCUCAGGAAUCUGAAAUUGAGCCCCGCCUUGGGCUCCCCACUCAGGGAGAGUCUACUUGUCCCUUCCCUCUGCCCCUUCCCCUAUUGUGCGCGUGCUCUCUCUCUCUCUGUCUCCCUCAAAUAAAUAAAUAAAAUCUUUAAAAAAAAUAAAAAGGUAACUUUUAAAACAAUCAAAGGUUAUUACAUCACAUCGUUGUAUUAAAGUGUGGGUCCUUAUGAGUCAGUGAGGGAAGCUGCCCUGGACAUAUGUGUGCUCCUGUCCGCCAGGCAGGACCCAGGAUUGCUGGCAGAAGCCUCCAGAAUGCAAGCUCUCCCCCAGCCUUUCAUGGGAUUGGACUGGGUCCUCCUCCUGUAUGUUUCGUGUGUCCAGAAGUGCACGUGGAACAUGAACACCAGGAGCCUGGAUCCCACAAGGACUGUGGCCCCACCUUCCCUCUAGUGGCUGUUCUCAGUUUUCCUGAGAGCUGGAACUCAUCCCUGUUCAGAGCAAAGAGUCUCUUCUGUAGUCUGUGUGUCCUCG